rnacentral:SRP_RNA from 1 species
GCUGGGCGCAGUGGUGCAUGCCUGUAGUCCCAGCUACUCGGGAGGCUGAGGCAGGAGGAUCGCUUGAGCCCAGGAGUUCUGGGCUGUAGUGCGCUCUGCUGAUCGAGUGUCUGCACUAAGUUCAGCAUCAAUAUGGUGACCUCCCGGGAGCGGGGGACCACCAGGUUGCCUAAGGAGAGGUGAACCAGCCCAGGCUGAAAACGAAGGUCAAAACUCCCAUGCUGAUCGGUAGUGGGAUUGCGCCUGUGAAUAGCCACUGAACUCCAGCCUGGGCAACAUAGCAAGACCCUGUCUUUA